rnacentral:rRNA from 1 species
UACGGAGGGUGCGAGCGUUGUCCGGAUUUACUGGGCGUAAAGGGAGCGUAGGCGGACUUUUAAGUGAGAUGUGAAAUACCCGGGCUCAACUUGGGUGCUGCAUUUCAAACUGGAAGUCUAGAGUGCAGGAGAGGAGAAUGGAAUUCCUAGUGUAGCGGUGAAAUGCGUAGAGAUUAGGAAGAACACCAGUGGCGAAGGCGAUUCUCUGGACUGUAACUGACGCUGAGGCUCGAAAGCGUGGGGAGCAAACAGGAUUAGACUACCCCUGUA